AUGAACGCUGGCGGCGUGCCUAAUACAUGCAAGUCGAGCGAACAGACGAGGAGCUUGCUCCUCUGACGUUAGCGGCGGACGGGUGAGUAACACGUGGAUAACCUACCUAUAAGACUGGGAUAACUUCGGGAAACCGGAGCUAAUACCGGAUAAUAUAUUGAACCGCAUGGUUCAAUAGUGAAAGACGGUUUUGCUGUCACUUAUAGAUGGAUCCGCGCCGUAUUAGCUAGUUGGUAAGGUAACGGCUUACCAAGGCAACGAUGCGUAGCCGACCUGAGAGGGUGAUCGGCCACACUGGAACUGAGACACGGUCCAGACUCCUACGGGAGGCAGCAGUAGGGAAUCUUCCGCAAUGGGCGAAAGCUUGACGGAGCAACGCCGCGUGAGUGAUGAAGGUCUUCGGAUCGUAAAACUCUGUUAUUAGGGAAGAACAAAUGUGUAAGUAACUAUGCACGUCUUGACGGUACCUAAUCAGAAAGCCACGGCUAACUACGUG
rnacentral:rRNA from 1 species